CAGUUGUGUAGUUAGGCUCAUUCUCGUUCAAUUAUUCGGUUUGUGAACAUAAGGAAUGAAUUAAAAUAUAAAUAAGAAAAUUCAUUUCCUUUUCGGGUAAUAUUCACAUAUAUUUUUAGCCGCAUAGAAAGUUAUAUUAACUCUCGAGUGGAAAUUUGACGGUUGCACAUUUAAAAUUUAAAUAUGUAUAUCGUUUGCAAAUUCGAUCCCUUCUAUGUUGGACCUUGCCCGCCCGGCUGCCUCGUGCCUGCAGGCGGCUGUGCCAGCUGUCGUAAUUGCGGCGGCGGGUGCUGCGGUGGUUGCUAAGCAAUCAGUAUAGUGAGAUCAUUUGACUAACCUGCUGCUGCUAUGGAUAUCGAUUUGCCCAGCUCAGUUUUUCAUUUUAAUGCCGACUUUGGUGAGGACAACGCUGAAGAUAUGUGUGUCUAUAAUUAACAUCUGCCUCAUGUUCACUUCAAAUUCUCAGUAUUAAAAGUAUACUAAAAUUA